GAUGAACGCUGGCGGCGUGCUUAACACAUGCAAGUCGAACGAUGAAGCCCAGCUUGCUGGGUGGGUUAGUGGCGAACGGGUGAGUAACACGUGAGUAACCUGCCCUUAACUCUGGGAUAAGCCUGGGAAACUGGGUCUAAUACCGGAUAGGAGCGUCCACCGCAUGGUGGGGGUUGGAAAGAUUUAUCGGUUUUGGAUGGACUCGCGGCCUAUCAGCUUGUUGGUGAGGUAAUGGCUCACCAAGGCGACGACGGGUAGCCGGCCUGAGAGGGUGACCGGCCACACUGGGACUGAGACACGGCCCAGACUCCUACGGGAGGCAGCAGUGGGGAAUAUUGCACAAUGGGCGCAAGCCUGAUGCAGCGACGCCGCGUGAGGGAUGACGGCCUUCGGGUUGUAAACCUCUUUCAGUAGGGAAGAAGCGAAAGUGACGGUACCUGCAGAAGAAGCACCGGCUAACUACGUG
rnacentral:rRNA from 1 species